rnacentral:rRNA from 1 species
CGGGAAACUGGGGAUAAUACCCCAUAGACUAUGGAUGCUGGAAUGCUCUGUAGUCGAAAGGUCCGCCGCCAUAGGAUGGGUCUGCGGCCGAUUAGGUUGUUGUUGGGGUAACGGCCCAACAAGCCUGUAAUCGGUACGGGUUGUGGGAGCAAGAGCCCGGAGAUGGAUUCUGAGACACGAAUCCAGGCCCUACGGGGCGCAGCAGGCGCGAAAACUUUACAAUGCGGGAAACCGUGAUAAGGGAACUCUGAGUGCCCGUAAAAUCGGGCUGUCCAUUGGUUUAAAUAACCAGUGAAGAAAGGGCCGGGCAAGACCGGUGCCAGCCGCCGCGGUAAUA